rnacentral:rRNA from 1 species
AUUGAACGCUGGCGGCAGGCCUAACACAUGCAAGUCGAAAGAGUGGCGGACGGGUGAGUAAUGUCUGGGAAACUGCCUGAUGGAGGGGGAUAACUACUGGAAACGGUAGCUACUACCGCAUACCAUCGGAUGUGCCCAGCUGGGAGUAGCUAGGAGGGGGGGUAAAGUCUCACCUAGGCGACGAUCCCUAGCUGGUCUGAGAGGAUGACCAGACAAACUGGAAAUGAGACACGGUACAGACUCCGACGGGAGGCAGCAGUGGUGAAGAUUGCACAAUGGGCGCAAGCCUGAUGCAGCCAUGCCGAGUGUAUGAAGAAGGCCUUCGGGUUGUAAAGUACUUUCAGCGGGGAGGCGUUACCCGCAGAAGAAGCACCGGCUAACUCCGUGCCAGCAGCCGCGGUAAUAC